GGGCUCCCUUUGGGAGCACAUAUACUAAAAUUAGAAUGAUACAGAGAAAAUUAACAUGGCCCAGGUGCAAGAAUGACAUGCAAAGUCACGAAGCACUCUAUAACUUU
ensembl:snRNA U6 U6 spliceosomal RNA